GAUACUAUGAUGGUUGCAUAGUUCAGCAGAUUGAAUUCAUGAAGAGAUUUACAAUGUCUGAUGUAGUUUC
rnacentral:snoRNA from 1 species